AUUACUAAAAACCCACCCCGCGUCCAAUUCCCGACUCCAAAGUUCAGAAAUAUAAUUCCCCAAAUUCACCAUUUCAUCACCAACACCCAAAUCACACCAUUUUCAACCGUCAUUCUCCGCUGCUGUGGUUGCUCCGUCACGGUUGCGCCGCCGUCGCUCCUCUUGCUCGCGCUGCCGUCGCGCUCUGUUGCUGUCGUGCCGCUGUCGCUCCCCACAUUCGCGCUAUUGUCACUCCUUUUGCUCGCGCCACCGUCACUUCGCUGCUGCCGUCGCUCCUUCUCUCUGCUGCCACCGUCGCUCUUCCUACUUUGGUCCUUCUCUGCUCUCUCUCAAUUGAGCUCACAAGAACCAGGAAAGAAAGAUUGCAUUUCUGCCAAAAAUAAUUCUCCCUGGUGGAUCUAAUCUUUGGGCAAGUAAGUAGUGUAUGGUUCUCUGGCUAUCAAUGUAAAUUUCAUUUUUAUCUUGAUGAACUUAAAUGCUUCUGAUCAAGCAAUUGAGCCGAAAAUCUUGUUCUUACUCAUUCUACCAUAAUAUGAACUUAAUAUGAAUUUGUGUAUAUAUCCACUGACACCGAAAUUGAGUUGUCUAAGUUUUUGUUUUUCUGGUUCACUUGUUUUUAAUAUGUGUCUAAGUUCUAUGCUAGCAGAAAAUAAAUUUGUAGUGGGAAGUGGAGCAAAAACUGUUUGUAUAUGCUACUAUGAACAGAAAAACAACUGGGAUUGAAUCAAGGGCCUAAGAGUAAGAUUCCUAUUCUUGCAGAGAAAAACUUUACUAGAGGUGUUGAAUCUCUCCUUUAAUCAUUCUUGCUUUGGAGGAUCAUUCCUCAGCUUGAUUUUGUAUAUGAACAACACGGACAACACAAGUACAGAACUCUAAGGUGGAUAUCUGCAUGAUUUCAUGAAUGAUACAUGAAGAGGCUAGGAAGUUUGCAUAUCAAACAGGGGUUAAGGUGGUUGUUGCUUAUGGCGGAGCUCCAAUAAACCAUUAGGUUUCUUUUCAAUUGUUUAUCUUUUUUUGGUUCUCUGUUCUUUUUUACCUAGGAUUAGUUAUGCUACUAUUGAUGCUAUUUUUGAUAGAUGCUUCAAUUUUUGUUGUAGUUGCUCCAUUGAAUGAUCUAUGUUCUCCACCUAAUGAGAUAGGGUAUAAGUAUUUAUGAACUACAAUUUCUUUGGAAAUGUGAAGAUGUGCUAAUUAGCCAUAAAUUACCAAUCA